UUGAACGCUGGCGGCAGGCCUAACCCCUGCAAGUCGAACGGUAACAGGAAGAAGCUUGCUUCUUUGCUGACGAGUGGCGGACGGGUGAGUAAUGUCUGGGAAACUGCCUGAUGGAGGGGGAUAACUACUGGAAACGGUAGCUAAUACCGCAUAACGUCGCAAGACCAAAGAGGGGGACCUUCGGGCCUCUUGCCAUCGGAUGUGCCCAGAUGGGAUUAGCUAGUAGGUGGGGUAACGGCUCACCUAGGCGACGAUCCCUAGCUGGUCUGAGAGGAUGACCAGCCACACUGGAACUGAGACACGGUCCAGACUCCUACGGGAGGCAGCAGUGGGGAAUAUUGCACAAUGGGCGCAAGCCUGAUGCAGCCAUGCCGCGUGUAUGAAGAAGGCCUUCGGGUUGUAAAGUACUUUCAGCGGGGAGGAAGGGAGUAAAGUUAAUACCUUUGCUCAUUGACGUUACCCGAAGAAGAAGCACCGGCUAACUCCGU
rnacentral:rRNA from 1 species